rnacentral:misc_RNA from 1 species
AAGUCGUAACAAGGUAACCGUAGGUGAACCUGCGGUUGGAUCAUUACUGAUUUAAUUGACCUGAGAUGAGCUCUUUUUUUUUAAAGAGAUCUCUCAGUGUCAUAAACAUUUUGUGCAACUUUUGUGUUUUUGGGUUGUUUUUAUUUCUCUUUUUUAACUUUUUUUAUAAAGGUUUUUUAAAGAAAAUAAGGCAAUCCAACAGUGUUAAACAAACGUUUAUACUUUUUGACUGAAAUCAUUUUUUUAAAAUGAAAAAACAACUUUUGACAACGGAUCUCUUGGCUCUC